rnacentral:rRNA from 1 species
CACGUAGGGUGCGAGCGUUGUCCGGAAUUAUUGGGCGUAAAGAGCUCGUAGGCGGUGUGUCGCGUCGGCCGUGAAAACCUGCAGCUUAACUGUGGGCUUGCGGUCGAUACGGGCAUCACUGGAGUUCGGCAGGGGAGACUGGAAUUCCUGGUGUAGCGGUGAAAUGCGCAGAUAUCAGGAGGAACACCGGUGGCGAAGGCGGGUCUCUGGGCCCGAUACUGACGCUGGAGGAGCGAAAGCCGUGGGAGCGAACAGG